UUGUAGCUAAUAAUUUUCAAAUCUGAAUACUUUUCCUUUGGGGAUGUCUAUUCCAAUGGUAAUAACAUAGGGCGAGUGGUCGGAUGUUUCCAUUACCAGUGGAAAUGCUGAGGUAAUGGGAUAGGAAAAGGACCAGGAAGUGGAGGUAAAGAACCAGUCUAACCUCUCAAGUAAGGGUGCUUGUUGCUUGUUUGUCCAAGUAAAUUGUUUUGACUUUAAAGGAACUUCAACUAGGCCUAGGACGCUGAUUGCUUCAUUAAACAUUAACAUUUCUGAGUAAUUCCC
rnacentral:lncRNA from 1 species